AGGAAUCAUGUUACUCAAGUGAUUAUAAGACAAAUCAAGGUACUCAAUAGAACUAAGAUUGCAAAAUGAGGAAGAGAUUUGUCCAGUUAUAUUAUUCCUGGAGACUGAAAAGAAAGAUAUGCCUAGUGGAGGUACUGGAAGUGGUCCUUGAAGCAAGUUAGAACGAAAAUCAAGAUAUUCCAAGUUCUUCCACGGAAGGUGUCCUACACUUGUCAAUGAGUUGUAUGAAAGAUUCAAGUAAGACAAUGAAUCCUUCCCCGCCUCCAAAAACCACUUUGGAAUAUUGCCUUUGAUUUGGUUGUGGGAAAGGUCUAAGGUUUCAAUAUAUUCUGCAGUUUGUAAAAAGUGUGGAAUUUCAGUUAUGUUGGAAUAAGACAACUCUAAUGAAACAAUUUUGGGUAAGAUAUUGGUGGCAAAGGUGAAGGAGCUUGGUGACA